AUGAGAGAAGCCCUAAGAAAAUUUAGGGGAAUUCACUACGGGAAUAUUGUUUUUAAGCAGGAGUAGGCCUGAAAUAGGUACCCCAUCACACCGCCACUGCGGGAAACACUCGUACAAGACAGCAUCAAGGUUUGCUGAUUUCGCUUCAUGUAAAGAUAUCCUGUUUCGGAUUCCGGUAUUAAAAUCACUGUUGCUGUAAGAUUUGAACAACUUUUCUUUAUUGUUCCGUAUAUCAUACACAUUUCGUGUGGUAAUUCCAUACGAUUGUGCUAUAAAUCGAGCAGUAGCACCUGCCUCUACGUGGACCUGGGACGUCGCAGCACGUAAUGAACUGGAAGUUAAUCUGUCAGUACUAUCCUUAUCUCCAGGAGAGAUGUUUUUAUUUUAUUCGGCAUUCGUCUGAAGGUGAUACUUAGUGUACCUAAAAGUUUUAAACAUUUGUUUGCAUUAACAAAAUUCUGAGCCUGAGAAUGGAAAAAGCCUGAAACUAAACUGAACAGGUAAACUGAUUCUCAGCGUGAGCUGGAACAUAUAUUCUUGAUGACUCCAUUAAUGUAAUGUGAACAUCUACUUUUGAAUGUUUAUUUGGCCAAACUGAUAUAAACAUGGAAAAUGUAAAACUUUGUGAUAUGAAGAUUUGAUCAGCCAGAGACGUGCAAGUUAUCAGGAGGUAUUUUGUUGGCAUUGCAUGCUGAGCAGUAUGGUAGAAAAUUCAACGUAGGAUUUUAGAUGUUCCAAAGUGUACUUAUAUGCUAUUUUAUAUGAUAAAAAACAAAAAAUUUCUGAAACUAAAAGCAGUAUCCUUUUUCUUGUAAUUUGCCGCAGAGAUCAAAAGAAAUUUAUGUAAAUUGAGCCUGUCUUUAACACUGAUGGUUGUCUGUAAAGAUAUCAGUUUACUAGGCCAUAAUUAAUGCUAUGUAAUGUAUAUAUGUAUAAUAAGUGUACAGAGAAUGUGAUUUAUACAAUAUAUGUAAUAGAAGCAAUACAAAGAUGUGAUAUAUAAAUUGAGAUAUCCAAUAUAAUUUCA